GAAUAUGGUUGUCCAAAGUAUGUAUUUACUAUGUUUGUGGUAUUUAAAUAAGUGUAUUUGCUUUUCAUAACAGUUCUGAAUGUGUUUAUGGCAACCAAAACUGCAAGUUUUUACCGUAAACGUUAGUUCACUUUUAGGUAUACUGUAAACAGAGGAACAUUUCGACCGUAUUUGUUACGGUAGAUUUCUGGCAGCCACAGCUGCCAGUUUUUUACCGUAAAUUUUACGGGAUUUUUUUUACAGUGUAAGGGGGAACAGACUUGGACACAACACCUGGCAUGACGGCUUGAAGUUCAAAAUGUGCACAGCAUAUGAACAGAACAGGAGAAAUUCAUCUUUGCUUUGUCACCACUUAAGGAUUCUUCGUCCAAUCCAAUCAGUACUACUGACUCAGAACAGUGUCACUGUGACCAGACAGCGUGUUUGUACUUUCAAGACUACAGGUGUGUUUAUAAGACUCAUCUUGCCAGAUUUCACUUCAGUCACAAAGAAACAGAAUAGGAGAGUUGACAGGUCAGUGCAGAAUUUAAGGAAUUACUGGAGUUGAUCUGCACUCGACAUUCCACAGUCCUGAAGAUCCGUGCCAAAGGUCUGAUCAGGAUGUAUCACUCUGAAAGAGACCAGAGUCAUGGCCAUGCAUCAAAGGUCAGUGGUACUCUGAGAUCUUCAGUUUUAUAUUCGGGAAUACGUACCAGUUGUUAAGAACUUUCAGACAGGCAGACCAGAAGGAUGCAUGUUGGUUUCAUUGAGUCUUCAGAAGAUCUGUGUGAAUUCCUUUGUUCAGUGGCGGACGUGCCUGUAGUGUUGGAGGAAGAAGUUGUCAUGAACAGCCUUCCAAACUUUCCGAUCGCCUUUUGGAGUGCUCUUUGGCCUGCUUUGCUUCCUCUAUAUUGAGUAUCCUAAAGAGUGGAAGUAAAUGUUUGAGGCUUGCACAAACUCUUUCUGGGUCUUGACAGUAAAAAAUGUUCAGCUUGAAUUCAGUCACUGAGAACCAGACUGUUGCUGGCAUAGACAGACUGAUCUAGUUUAGAGGCCAAUUCAAGUGUCAUGAGGUCAAGUACUGUCAUCUACUUGAUGUUUAUUUUCUUGUGUUUCUUUCUUUUGUAUUUAUUUAUUUUUGUUACACAUUUGUUAACAUUUAAGUUAUUAAUGGAUACAAUGAUUCAACUUUCUUACCUUAUUCUUAAUGUACUUGAGUGUGGUGUAAAUUGUAAUAUCAUUAGCUAUGUUUCCAUCCAAGUUGCAAAUUUAAUUUAUGCAAAAAACAGUAAUAUCGCAAAAACAAUUUGUGAAUAAAGCCGUGUUUUGUCUCA